UUGACGGGACCCCGCACAAGCGGUGGAUCAUGUUGUUUAAUUCGAUGAUACGCGAAGAACCUUACCAGGUCUUGACAUCCCUUGCAAAGCUAUGGAGACAUAGUGGAGGUUAUCAAGGAGACAGGUGGUGCAUGGUUGUCGUCAGCUCGUGUCGUGAGAUGUUGGGUUAAGUCCCGCAACGAGCGCAACCCUUAUUGCUAGUUACCAUCAUUAAGUUGGGGACUCUAGCGAGACUGCCAGUGAUAAACUGGAGGAAGGUGGGGAUGACGUCAAGUCCUCAUGGCCCUUAUGGGUAGGGCUUCACACGUCAUACAAUGGUCGGUACAGAGGGUUGCCAAGCCGCGAGGUGGAGCCAAUCCCUUAAAGCCGAUCGUAGUCCGGAUCGUAGUCUGCAACUCGACUACGUGAAGUCGGAAUCGCUAGUAAUCGCAGAUCAGCAUGCUGCGGUGAAUACGUUCCCGGGUCUU
rnacentral:rRNA from 1 species